CCUACGGGAGACAGCAGUGGGGAAUUUUGCGCAAUGCUCGUAAGAGUGACGCAGCGACGCCGCGUGAAUGACGAAGGCCUUCGGGUCGUAAAGUUCUUUCGACAGGGAAGAAAAUGCCUAUAAGUAACUGUGUAUGUAUUGACGGUACCUGUAUAAGCAGCCCCGGCUAACUCCGUGCCAGCAGCCGCGGUAAUACGGAGGGGGCGAGCGCUGUUCGGAGGGACUGGGCGUAAAGAGCACGUAGGCGGUGUUGUAAGUCAUUAGUCAAAGACUAGAGCUCAACUUUAGUAAGGCUAGUGAUACUAUAAUACUAGAGUAUCAGAGAGGAUUGCAGAAUUCCUGGUGUAGCGGUGAAAUGCGUAGAUAUCAGGAGGAAUACCGUUAGCGAAGGCGGCAAUCUGGCUGGAAACUGACGCUGAGGUGCGAAAGCGUGGGUAGCAAACAGGAUUAGAUACCCCGGUAGUC
rnacentral:rRNA from 1 species